rnacentral:rRNA from 1 species
GAGUUUUGAUCAUGGCUCAGGAUGAACGCUAGCUACAGGCUUAACACAUGCAAGUCGAGGGGAAACGACAUCGAAAGCUUGCUUUUGAUGGGCGUCGACCGGCGUACGGGUGAGUAACGCGUAUCCAACCUGCCCACCACUUGGGGAUAACCUUGCGAAAGUAAGACUAAUACCCAAUGAUAUCUCUAGAAGACAUCUGAAAGAGAUUAAAGAUUUAUCGGUGAUGGGAUGGGGAUGCGUCUGAUUAGCUUGUUGGCGGGGUAACGGCCCACCAAGGCAACGAUCGAGUAGGGGUUCUGAGACGGAAGGUCCCCCACAUUGGAACUGAGACACGGUCCAACUCCUACGGGAGGCAGCA